rnacentral:rRNA from 1 species
UGCAAGUCGAACGAGCUUCCGUUGAAUGACGUGCUUGCACUGAUUUCAACAAUGAAGCGAGUGGCGAACUGGUGAGUAACACGUGGGGAAUCUGCCCAGAAGCAGGGGAUAACACUUGGAAACAGGUGCUAAUACCGUAUAACAACAAAAUCCGCAUGGAUUUUGUUUGAAAGGUGGCUUCGGCUAUCACUUCUGGAUGAUCCCGCGGCGUAUUAGUUAGUUGGUGAGGUAAAGGCCCACCAAGACGAUGAUACGUAGCCGACCUGAGAGGGUAAUCGGCCACAUUGGGACUGAGACACGGCCCAAACUCCUACGGGAGGCAGCAGUAGGGAAUCUUCCACAAUGGACGAAAGUCUGAUGGAGCAAUGCCGCGUGAGUGAAGAAGGGUUUCGGCUCGUAAAACUCUGUUGUUAAAGAAGAACACCUUUGAGAGUAACUGUUCAAGGGUUGACGGUAUUUAACCAGAAAGCCACGGCUAACUACGUGCCAGCAGCCGCGGUAAUACGUAGGUGGCAAGCGUUGUCCGGAUUUAUUGGGCGUAAAGCGAGCGCAGGCGGUUUUUUAAGUCUGAUGUGAAAGCCUUCGGCUUAACCGGAGAAGUGCAUCGGAAACUGGGAGACUUGAGUGCAGAAGAGGACAGUGGAACUCCAUGUGUAGCGGUGGAAUGCGUAGAUAUAUGGAAGAACACCAGUGGCGAAGGCGGCUGUCUAGUCUGUAACUGACGCUGAGGCUCGAAAGCAUGGGUAGCGAACAGGAUUAGAUACCCUGGUAGUCCAUGCCGUAAACGAUGAGUGCUAAG